UGGGGAAUAUUGGACAAUGGGGGCAACCCUGAUCUAGCAAUGCCGCGUGGAUGAUGAAGGCCUUCGGGUUGUAAAGUCCUUUCGGCGGGGAAGAUGAUGACGGUACCCGCAGAAGAAGCCCCGGCUAACUUCGUGCCAGCAGCCGCGGUAAUACGAAGGGGGCUAGCGUUGUUCGGAAUUACUGGGCGUAAAGGGCGCGUAGGCUGUGCUGUAAGUCAGGCGUGAAAGCCCCGGGCUCAACCUGGGAAUUGCGCUUGAUACUGCGGCGCUGGAAGGUGGGAGAGGAUGGCGGAAUUCCCAGUGUAGAGGUGAAAUUCGUAGAUAUUGGGAAGAACACCGGUGGCGAAGGCGGCCAUCUGGCCCAUUUUUGACGCUGAGGCGCGAAAGCGUGGGGAGCAAACAG
rnacentral:rRNA from 1 species